rnacentral:ncRNA from 2 species
GCUGUGGACGCGGGGUGCCACCCCCAGGGUGGCUGAGAGGACACCCGUGAACCUGAUCUAGGUAGUACUAGCGGAGGGACGUCCAAUUGAUUCCCA